GCGCAUCAUAGCUCAGAGGUAGAACACCUGCUUGGCAUGAAGAAGGUCCUGGUUCAAUCCCCACUGGUGGCA